AGGCACUGGCGGCUCAGCGAGCAAGGAAGGAAAAAAGAGAGGAAGUUUCUCUGCCUUCUGAUUCCUCUCUGAAUUCCCUUGUAGUGAGCUUACUUCUCUCCACCCACUUCUUACCAAGAACUCCUUAAUUUGAAGGUGAACAACUUAAAGCCUGAUCCCAGAGAGUUGCCCGAAAGGUGAUUUGAGUAAUUUAUUGAAUUGAGAGAACAAAUUACCUAUUGAGGCGGUGGGCAGCGUAUGGAAAUGAUAUUAGAACUUCAGCAAAGUGCACAGCUGCAUAAUACAGAAGCCGGGACUCAGAUUGACAGGCAAAUAAGCCAGCUCGUGGAAGGGGCCUCUGGGUGGCAGCUCUGGGCUAUUGGGUGUUGGACAACUGUAGGCAAAACAGAAAUGGAACAGGGGCAGAAAAUAGCACACUUUUACGCUACGCAACUGUGGCUUUCGCAUGGUUAUUGAUCAUUAAAAUGGCAUUGUAAAGAGAGGACUCAGAAAUAACAGAUUUUAUUUAUUCAUUCAUGAGAGGCAGAGACAUAGGCAGAGAGAGAAGCAGGC